rnacentral:lncRNA from 1 species
GUAGAAUACCCGGGUAUUUGUUGUAGAGUAUAGGUUGUAGAGUCCAGCUUUCCAAGUAUUUGGAUUGAAUUGGUUGCAGAUAUUGAAUCAGCAUCAUCUGUUAUCACCGUGGUGAUGGUGUUGGUAUUUGUCUUUGUCUUUGCUUUUUAUUUUGUUUUUUCCAUGAAACAUUUUUACACCGUUUAUGAUGUGUAUAGAUUGGAU